GGGGAAAGCCAGCAGUCACAAGCCUCACCCAGCUCCCAUGCAAUCCAAAGAGCCAGUCUUACUCCCACCACCCCCACCCCCAACAACACUAAGUCUGUUUCCAGGCAGUGGGCAAGCAGGGCUGAGAACUUGAACCAGGCUACCCGCCUCCCAGCUGUGAAGGCUUUUCCCAGUGCCUCUGGCAACCCUCCAGAAGGACCCCUGGGAGGCCAGGCAAAAAGGGCUUGCUAGGAGACCCAGCGAGUUCCCAGGGCUUUUCCCUCUGCAUCCUUUACCCCUGUAUUUCACUUGGCUCUCUAAAUUGACUCAGCUCCAGCAUACCAGCAGGGAAUCCAGAAGAACAUAACUCUAAGAGUCAUCCCACAGGAUAGAGAAGAUGCAUCUUUUGUCUAUGACAGAAUGUGAUUUUGAAGAAAGGAGGAAAGAUGUGAAAAGUGAUUGGUCAGCCACAUUCAUGGUGUUGAGAAAAGAAUUUGCUUUUCUGGAACAUAGCCUGUGAUAGCAGAACAACACCUGGCAAGAAACAGGUUAUGUUUGGCUGGAGAGUCAUUGGCACUAUCAAGAAAUAUUAAAGUGUAGAUUUGAGAGAGGAGGAGAAAGACCCAAGCAAAAUUGAAAACCAGGUGGGACCCAGACAGCAGCAAAGCAAUGGAAGCAUGUAUUUUGGUCAAUAUAGAGUUAAUACACAAUUUUGCCCCUCUUCUUCUGAUCAUGGGACUCAUAUUACCAGUCUUCACAUUUCCUUUAAAUUCAGGAAUCAGGAAGAAUUUCCAGAGUUUGCAGAUGGACACAUUUGCUGCUUCCAUUCUAAACAUAAGUUAGAAGAACCUUUCAACUGGAUUCCAACUUUAAUAUGUCACAAACAUAAAAAAGAAAGCUAUUUCCUGGACUUUUCUUCAUUAGAAAUUAAUAGAUUGUCAAUUGGCAUAGGGAAAAGAUAAUCAACAGAUGCCAACCCCAAGUUAACAGAAAUGCUAAAAUUAUAAGACAAAGACUUCAAAAUAGCUAUUUUAAUUUUGCCUAGUGAGGUAAAUGCAAACAUGCUCACUAUGAAUGAAAACAGGUAAUCUCAGCAGUCAUGUAAA
ensembl:lncRNA CASC9 cancer susceptibility 9